GAUGAACGCUGGCGGCGUGCCUAAUACAUGCAAGUCGAGCGAACAGACGAGGAGCUUGCUCCUCUGACGUUAGCGGCGGACGGGUGAGUAACACGUGGAUAACCUACCUAUAAGACUGGGAUAACUUCGGGAAACCGGAGCUAAUACCGGAUAAUAUAUUGAACCGCAUGGUUCAAUAGUGAAAGACGGUUUUGCUGUCACUUAUAGAUGGAUCCGCGCCGCAUUAGCUAGUUGGUAAGGUAACGGCUUACCAAGGCAACGAUGCGUAGCCGACCUGAGAGGGUGAUAGGCCACACUGGGACUGAAACACGGUCCAGACUGCGACGGGAGGCAGCAGUAGGGAAUCUUCCGCAAUGGGCGAAAGCCUGACGGAGCAACGCCGCGUGAGUGAUGAAGGUCUUCGGAUCGUAAAACUCUGUUAUUAGGGAAGAACAAAUGUGUAAGUAACUAUGCACGUCUUGACGGUACCUAAUCAGAAAGCCACGGCUAACUACGUG
rnacentral:rRNA from 1 species